CUGACCAGGAGAAAAACCAACCAAUAGAAACAGGCCCAGACACUGACCAGGAGAAAAACCAACCAAUAGAAACAGGCCCAGACACUGACCAGGAGAAAAACCAACCAAUAGAAACAGCCCAGACACUGACCAGGAGGAAAAAAAAACCAACCAAUAGAAACACGCCCAGACACUGACCAGGAGAAAAACCAACCAAUAGAAACACGCCCAGACACUGACCAGGAGAAAAACCAACCAAUACAAACACGCCCAGACACUGACCGGGAGAAAAAAAAAACAACCAAUAAAAACAUGCCCAGACAAUGACCAGGAGAAAAACCAACCAAUAGAAACACGCCCAGACACUGACCAGGAGAAAAACCAACCAAUAGAAACACGCCCAGACACUGACCAGGAGAAAAACCAACCAAUAGAAACAGGCCCAGACACUGACCAGGAGAAAAACCAACCAAUAGAAACAGGCCCAGACACUAACCAGGAGAAAAACCAACCAAUAGAAACACGCCCAGACAGUG
rnacentral:lncRNA from 1 species